GCGUGAGUGAUGAAGGCCUUCGGGUUGUAAAGCUCUUUUACAUGUGACGAUAAUGACGGUAACAUGAGAAUAAGCUCCGGCUAACUUCGUGCCAGCAGCCGCGGUAAUACGAAGGGAGCAAGCGUUGUUCGGAAUUACUGGGCGUAAAGGGCGCGUAGGCGGAAUGAUGGGUUAGAUGUGAAAAACCUGGGCUUAACCUGGGAACUGCAUUUAAAACUAUUGUUCUAGAGUACUGGAGGGGAUGGCGGAAUUCCUAGUGUAGAGGUGAAAUUCGU
rnacentral:rRNA from 1 species